rnacentral:rRNA from 1 species
GCCNUGCCGCGUGUAGGAAGACUGCCCUAUGGGUUGUAAACUACUUUUAUAUGGGAAGAAUAAGGUCUACGUGUAGACUGAUGACGGUACCAUAAGAAUAAGCACCGGCUAACUCCGUGCCAGCAGCCGCGGUAAUACGGAGGGUGCAAGCGUUAUCCGGAAUCAUUGGGUUUAAAGGGUCCGUAGGCGGGCAUAUAAGUCAGUGGUGAAAGUCUGUGGCUCAACCAUAGAAUUGCCAUUGAUACUGUAUGUCUUGAAUUAUUGUGAAGUGGUUAGAAUAUGUAGUGUAGCGGUGAAAUGCUUAGAGAUUACAUAGAAUACCGAUUGCGAAGGCAGAUCACUAACAAUAUAUUGACGCUGAUGGACGAAAGCGUAGGUAGCGAACAGGAUUAGAUACCCUGGUAG